CCGGUCAUCCCUCCCUGUGUAGCUGAGCUUCGGGGUGCCACUGGAGCCCUUGAUGAUCUUCAUUUCUAACCUAAUUUCCCCGAGGACCCAGGUCAAACCGCUGGUUAAAGUGCUGCUCCCGCACGUCACUGCCAUUCAGCACGAGGACAUCGAGGAUGUGGAUGGCACUAAUCUUCCGCUGGGCCUUCCCCUAGAAGAAGAAGUGCGCUGCCCACCCUGCCAAGCAUCGGCCUGGGGCCCACUGCCCACCAUGGCAUGCUGGCCUCCGUUCUACCUAUAUAUCACCGGGGGAAGAGAAGGACUCCAAACACAGAACUUUCUUGUGCCUCCCGCCCAGAUCAUUCUCAGCACCACACCAGCCCAGACUUCCGAGCAGCCAGAGAUCUGAGGCUUUAGGUGAUGAGCACCCCUGAACCUCAAACUCAGUGAGGCUGCCGCCAUGGUGCUCCAUUCAGGGCCUAGCUUCCCAAUCUUGUCCACUGUUCCCAUUGACUGUUCUGAAAGUCAUCUGUAUGGCUGUCAUGGCCAAAGCUCAAGGGAUCCCUGGUAAAAACAAAAUCAGCAGCUAAAAAAUACCCAGCAGCCCACUAGGGCCCAGGAUGCCCAGAGAUGACUGAGGUUUCCUCUUGCACACAUGGGGACUGUGAUCCUUCCUACCUAAACGUAUCAUUGUUUCGAGCAACUACCCAAGGAGGAGGAAUCAUUUCACAGCCUUCCCCCAGCUCUGGGCCCUGUCAAGCACCACAAUGUGACCCAGUUAACUUGGGGGGAAAAGGGCCAGGCUCAGCCGUGCCCCAGUUCCCUAGCUGGCAGGGCCAGAACACAUGAGCAGAACCACCUCUGACCUCCCCUUUCAGUUCAUGGACGAUCUCCACAGACAGCAGAGUAUCCCGGGGUAGCUCUGUCUUCAGGUCUAGCUUGACCCAGCGGUCUGACUGGCGGCCGUCCCACGUGUAGAUCUGGGACUUCUACAGGCAGAGAGAAAGGGCCUCAUGAGGCAGGCAUGGAGAUUGAGGGGUGAGCACUCAAAAGAGCUUUCAGUUGGCGGUUAUAAGCUGAUGGGGCUGGGAAAUGUCAGAAGAAAAUGUCUAGGAGAGAUUAGUGUUAUACUUCAACGACAGGGAUCUGGCUCAGUCCUGGUGGUAGGGAACAGGCCCAGG